rnacentral:ncRNA from 1 species
CAGUAACUAUAAAAACAUUGUAGUUAAAAAAGUUGGCUAUAUGCUGGAAACUCUCGAUAAGUUGUUUGUACUCAUUUGAUUUUUCGCAAGAUGAAUCAAAAAGUGAAAAUCAAACAAAUAGAGACAAUCAGCAGGGAAGUCUUGUUUAUAUGUUUAUAAACAUGAUCCCUCAGAGACUAUACGCCGACCUGUUUCUUAACAAGAAACAGAUGAUAUAGUCCGACCUUUAUGGAGACAUAAAG